rnacentral:lncRNA from 1 species
AAAAAUACUCAUUUACCUAUUAAUUGCUUGUUGUUGGUCACUUUGUUUUAGUUCCACUUCACUGAAUAUUAUGAAAAGGAAUCAUCUAUAUAUAUGUUCCCAUCUAAGGUUUCAAAGACAAGAGCACGAAGUUCAAUUUGGGAGGAAGAGAGUGAAAUCUUCCAUUUCAGAUCUCCAUGACAGAUUCGGUUGAAGCAUUUGUGGAUGCCUAAUAGGGAGAUAUAGGGGAGUGAUUGUGUGUAGGAUUAAUUCUUUACAUGUUCUUAUUUUUUAUUUAAUAAAAUCUAAACCAUUGAUUAGAUAUAUGAUGUUGUAUUGUUAUUGAUCCACACGUGAGGAACUUAAUUGAUCCCUCAUCUUAAAAAUCAUCAAUUUUUAUAUUUAAUUUAUAUAUUAUAAAUUUUUAGUGGUCUAUUCGAAUAUUUUUUAUGUCUCCGCCAUUGUGAGAUUGUAUACUGAAGAUAUGAUAUGACAUAUUUUAUACAGAG